AUUGAACGCUGGCGGCAGGCCUAACACAUGCAAGUCGAACGAGUGGCGGACGGGUGAGUAAUGCCUGGGAAACUGCCCGAUGGAGGGGGAUAACUACUGGAAACGGUAGCUAAUACCGCAUACCAUCGGAUGUGCCCAGAUGGGAUUAGCUAGUUGGUGGGGUAAUGGCUCACCUAAGCGACGAUCCCUAGCUGGUCUGAGAGGAUGACCAGGCACACUGGAAAUGAGACACGGUCCCGACUCCUACGUGAGGCAAGGGUGGAGAGUAUUACACAAGGGGAGGAGGCCUAGUGCAGACAUGCCGCGUGUAUGAAAAGGGCCUUCGGGUAUUGAAGUUCAUUCAGCGAGAAAGCGUUACUCGAAGAAGAAGCACCGGCUAACUCCGUGCCAGCAGCCGCAGUAAUUC
rnacentral:rRNA from 1 species